rnacentral:rRNA from 1 species
GUCCACGCCGUAAACGAUGGAUACUAGCUGUCGGGACCUCGGUCUCGGCGGCCAAGCGAAAGUGAUAAGUAUCCCACCUGGGGAGUACGUUCGCAAGAAUGAAACUCAAAGGAAUUGACGGGGGCCCGCACAAGCGGUGGAGCAUGUGGUUUAAUUCGAUGAUACGCGAGGAACCUUACCAGGGCUUAAAUGUAGAGUGACAGGGCUGGAGACAGCUUUUUCUUCGGACACUUUACAAGGUGCUGCAUGGUU